rnacentral:lncRNA from 1 species
AAAGACACCAACAGGGCCACCUCGGAAAGUCUUUUUGAGCAGUUUCAGCAAAUAGCAUUUAAGGGAAGGGAAAAAAACUCCAAUGUACUCAAUAAGGUGUGUACAGCAAAUUUCUGUUGUGCCUGGGAAGAAGGAAAUUUGAGUUAAAGAGGAGGCCCGCUCCAUAUGCCUUGUCACAAGUACACUCACUGAAACAUUAAUUCACGAAGAGAUUGCAACAAGACCAAAACGAAAGAGGAACAGGGCCUGACAAUGUUCAGAGAAGGAAAACCGAAGAAGUAACCAUCCCCAAGUUAAAAAUGACAUGGGGAUGAAAAAAUAGAUUGCCUGUUGUAUUUGUCAUUGAAAUGCACAAUCUUGUUUACUGUUUAUCUUGAGACUCUGGGAGCUCUCCUGCUGCUUAGGAAAAAAGAGGCAAAGGUUUAGGAAGAAAUGCUAGUCAUAAGAAAGAGAGGCAUUAGAAACCCUAGAGAGAAUGGGAGGUGUAAAUAGUAUGUGGGCAUUUGGCA